rnacentral:rRNA from 1 species
GAUGAACGCUGGCGGCGUGCCUAAUACAUGCAAGUCGAGCGAGCGGCGGACGGGGGAGUAAUGUCUGGGAAACUGCCUGAUGGAGGGGGAUAACUACUGGAAACGGUAGCUAAUACCGCAUACCAUCAGAUGUGCCCAGAUGGGAUUAGCUAGUAGGUGGGGUAAUGGCUCACCUAGGCGACGAUCCCUAGCUGGUCUGAGAGGAUGACCAGCCACACUGGAACUGAGACACGGUCCAGACUCCUCCGGGGGGCAGCAGUGGGGAAUAUUGCCCAAUGGGCGCAAUCCUGAUGCAGCCAUGCCGCGUGUGUGAAGAAGGCCUUCGGGUUGUAAAGCCCUUUCAGCGAGGAGGCGUUACUCGCAGAAGAAGCACCGGCUAACUCCGUGCCAGCCGCCGCGGUAAUAC